rnacentral:rRNA from 1 species
UUAAGCUACUAAGAGCGUAGGGUGAAUGCCUUGGCACCAAGAGCCGAUGAAGGACGUGAUAAGCUGCGAAAAGCUGUGAGUAGGAGCAAAUAUCCAUUUAAUCACAGAUGUCCGAAUGAGGGAACUCAGGUCGUGGAAAAAGACGGCCUAUCUAUACAUGAGUAAAGUAGUGUAUAGAGGGGAACGUGGGGAACUGAAACAUCUAAGUACCCACAGGAAAAGAAAGAAAACUCGAUUCCUAAAGUAGUGGCGAGCAAAAUAGGAAGAGCCUAAACCAGAAGAAGUAAUUCAUCUGGGGUUAUGGACUACAUAAUUGAUUCAAGAGAUUUAGCAGAAUUGUUUGGAAAGACAGACCAAAGAUAGUGAAAGUCUAGUAUGCGAAAAAUCAAUUGACAUGGUAGUAUCCGGAGUAGUGCGAGACACGUGAAAUCUCGUAUGAAGAUUGGGGGACCACCCCCAAAGGCUAAAUACUACUUGGUGACCGAUAGUGAAGCAGUACCGUGAGGGAAAGGUGAAAAGAACCCCGGGAGGGGAGUGAAAAAGAACCUGAAACCCUAUGUUUACAAGCAGAUAGAGCACGUUAAUGUGCGAUAUCGUACUUUUUGUAGAACGGUCCGGCGAGUUAUUUUAUAUGGCAAGAUUAAGUACUUAAGGUACGAAGUCGAAGAGAAAUCGAGUCUGAAAAGGGCGAAAAAGUCAUAUGAAAUAGACCCGAAACCGAGUGACCUAUCCAUGGUCAGGAUGAAGCUUGAGUAAAAUCAAGUGGAGGUCCGAACUCAUAAGCGUUAAAAAGCUUCGGGAUGAACUGUGGAUAGCGGAGAAAUUCCAAUCGAACUCGGAGAUAGCUGGUUCUCCUCGAAAUAGUUUUAGGACUAGCCUUGUUAAGUAGUAUAUGGGGGUAGAGCACUGAAGGAGCUAGGGGCCAAACCAGGUUACUGAACUCUAUCAAACUCCGAAUACCAUAUACGUAAAAACAGGAGUCAGACUGCGGGAGCUAAGUUCCGUGGUCAAAAGGGAAAGAGCCCAGAUCGUCAAUUAAGGUCCCAAAGAUAUAGUUAAGUGGAAAACGAUGUGAUUUUGCGUAAACAACCAGGAUGUUGGCUUAGAAGCAGCCAUUCAUUUAAAGAGUGCGUAAUAGCUCACUGGUCGAGUGAAGUUGCGCGGAAAAUUACCGGGGCUAAACUAUACACCGAAAUUGCGGAUUCAUGAGUAAUCAUGAGUGGUAGAGGAGCAUUCUGUUGUAGGAAGAAGUGUGAUCGAAAGGACAUGUGGACGAAGCAGAAGAGAGAAUGCCGGAAUAAGUAGCGAAAGCAUGGUGAGAAUCCAUGCCAUCGAAAGUCUAAGGUUUCCUGGGGAAGGUUCGUCCGCCCAGGGUAAGUCGGGACCUAAGGUGAGGCCGAAAGGCGUAGCCGAUGGACAGCAGGUAGAAAUUCCUGCACUACCGAAAUACUUAAAAGAUGCAAGGGACACAGGAGUGGAAGGAAAGCGAGGAAGAGGAAAGACUCGUAUCGAAAGAUAUAGUGAAAAUUAAAGUAACGAAUUUCCAAGAAGCACACUGGCGAGAAAAGCUUGUAGAUAUUGUAUAGAGGUACCCGUACCGCAAACCGACACAGGUAGAUGAGGAGAGGAUCCUAAGAUGAGCGAGAGAAGCAUUGUUAAGGAACUCGGCAAACCAACCCCGUAACUUAGGGAGAAGGGGUGCCUAUGUAAAAAUAGGCCGCAGAGAAGAGGCCCAAGCAACUGUUUAACAAAAACACAGGUUUCUGCUAAAUCGAAAGAUGAAGUAUAGGAGCUGACGCCUGCCCAGUGCUGGAAGGUUAAGGGAAAAUGUAAGUACAGAAGUAUGAAGCAUAGAACCAAAGCCCCAGUGAACGGCGGCCGUAACUAUAACGGUCCUAAGGUAGCGAAAUUCCUUGUCAGGUAAGUUCUGACCCGC